GUCUAUGGCCAUACCAUCCUGAAUGCGCCCGGUCUUGUCUGAUCUCAGAAGCUAAGCAGGGUUCGGCUUGGUUAGUACUUGGAUGGGAGAAUGCAGGGAAUCUACAGGGUGGUCGGGC
rnacentral:rRNA from 1 species